GAGAAGCUGAGGUUCAACGAAAGUAUGAAGAACUCCAGCAGCAGCUUAAAGUAGAUGCGGCAGCAAGAGAAACAGAGGCGGCAGCUAGAGAAGUACAGGCUGCAGCGAGGGAAGCAGAGGCUAAAGCGAGGGAAGCAGAGGCUGCAGCGAGGGAAGCAGAGCAGCGUCAAAAGUUCGAUGAACUCCAGCAGCAGCUUUAGAGCAUGAUGAAGAUGUUUCAGUAGUCGCAACAGCCG
rnacentral:lncRNA from 1 species